UUUAUAUUAUCGAAAAGUGUACUAUUUCGUAACACGAAUGUUACAUGUUACUUUUCGUAACAUUUAUUUAUUCUUUUUAUCGAGUUAGUAAUUUUUUUUUUGUUUCUUUAUUUUCUUUUAUUCCUUGUUGGAGUAUGCCACAAAGAAUAAUUUGAAGUUUCACAGACAUUAUAAAGUAUAUUCUUAUCAAUAUAUACAACAAUUUUAUUAAAAAUACAAGGAACACCAUCUUGUUUGGUGUCGCUUUAUCUGGUCUCCAUUCUGUUGUGUAAAUAAAUUUUUCUCGAGUCUCUUCAACAAAUUUGAUUUGUGGUGUCUAACAAAUUUCUUAAUUUGACGUAAAAAUUAUGAAUGACACUUUGAGUUCAAAAUAGGUUAUCAAUUGUUUCUUUAACGUACAUUAUGAAUUCAGUUGUAGUUCAUUAAACAUUAUCUUUCAGUUUCUCCUUCAGCCCGUUAUUACGUGUUCUAGAAGCAUAAAGAUAAAUAUAACUAUUACCAUAUGAAAAAGGAAUGUUAAAUAAAAAGAGCAGAAAAUCGAACACAUACCGUAAAUUUUCAAGAUCUUUAUUCAAAUUUGUACAGCACUAUUUCACAGCGUUUAGUGCUAAUUACGAUGAAAAUAAAAACGAGUCUGUUAACAGCUGGCUAUUUGCUGGAGGAGUUAAACACAUUCGGACUGGAAACAUGGUUUGCACGUUUUUCGAUGUAUGUAGACGUGACCUUCUGUUCAAUGUUUCUCAAAAUUGAAAAAGGAAGCAUUUCUUUUAUGUAUACGUAACUAUCUAAUUGAUAGCAAUAAUAAUAGUGCAAAUUAAAUGCUUAACAUAUUUUCUUCCCUGCAGUAAAUUUAUAUGCUUUGACUAAUCAACUUUGUUACAAUAAUUUAUUUGCAGCAAAAGAUAAAACAAAAAUUUUUAGUUACACGUUUAUAUAAAAAUCGAAUAUACGGUCGUUUAAAGAAUAAUUGAACAGUAAAGCCUCGGUUUGGAAAUUAAUAUGAUUUUGGUGAUGGUUGUUAAUUAGCAAUCAAUUUAAAGUUGUGUUACAAAAUCUGACAUACUUUCAUCUAUAUAUAAUUGAAUUUCAGAUUAUUGUGAUUUCGACAUUUUAGGUUUCAUUCAAACGAAAAUUAAAAACGAUAUCUUAUAUUCCAACAUCUUAUUUUCAUUAACGAAAUGCAUAAUUUAUUACAAUUCAUUCGAAAUGUUUAACUGCAAGUAAUUGACAAGAAGAAUUUUGGAAAUUACUGAACGUAAUGCCGUGUAUAACGAUUCAAGCCGACGCAUUUGAAUCAGUGAAAAGUGCACACCUUUUUUUGCAAUACGAGCGAAUGCAUGAUAAUCGACGUAUAGGUGUAUGCUUUAUUCUUGCCUGAUAUUCUGUUUUGUCUGAAAUAAAAGAAAGAAUAUGAUUUAUAAUGAA